rnacentral:rRNA from 1 species
GACGAACGCUGGCGGCGUGCUUAACACAUGCAAGUCGAGCGGUAAGGCCCUUUCGGGGGUACACGAGCGGCGAACGGGUGAGUAACACGUGGGUGACCUGCCCUUAGCUCUGGGAUAAGCCUGGGAAACGUGGGUCUAAUACCGGAUAUGACUCCAUGACGCAUGUUGUGGGGUGGAAAGCCUUGUGCGGCUAGGGAUGGGCCUGCGGCCUAUCAGCUUGUUGGUGGGGUGAUGGCCUACCAAGGCGACGACGGGUAGCCGGCCUGAGAGGGCGACCGGCCACACUGGGGACUGAGACACGGCCCAGACUCCUACGGGAGGCAGCAGUGGGGAAUCUUGCGCAAUGGGCGAAAGCCUGACGCAGCGACGCCGCGUGGGGA